rnacentral:rRNA from 1 species
CUGGCGGCGUGCCUAAUACAUGCAGUAGAACGCUGACCUCUGGUGCUUGCACUAGAGUGAUGAGUUGCGAACGGGUGAGUAACGCGUAGGUAACCUACCUUUAAGCGGGGGAUAACUAUUGGAAACGAUAGCUAAUACCGCAUAACAACUUUUAACACAUGUUAGGAGUUUGAAAGGGGCAACCGCCUCACUUAGAGAUGGACCUGCGUUGUAUUAGCUAGUUGGUAGGGUAAAGGCCUACCAAGGCGACGAUACAUAGCCGACCUGAGAGGGUGAUCGGCCACACUGGGACUGAGACACGGCCCAGACUCCUACGGGAGGCAGCAGUAGGGAAUCUUCGGCAAUGGGGGCAACCCUGACCGAGCAACGCCGCGUGAGUGAAGAAGGUUUUAGGAUCGUAAAGCUCUGUUGUAAGAGAAGAAUGUUGUGUAGAGUGGAAAGUUACACAAGUGACGGUAUCUUACCAGAAAGGGACGGCUAACUACGUGCCAGCAGCCGCGGUAAU